UACGGGGGGGGCAAGCGUUGUUCGGAAUUACUGGGCGUAAAGGGCUCGUAGGCGGCCAACUAAGUCAGACGUGAAAUCCCUCGGCUUAACCGGGGAACUGCAUCUGAUACUGGAUGGCUUGAGUUCGGGAGAGGGAUGCGGAAUUCCAGGUGUAGCGGUGAAAUGCGUAGAUAUCUGGAGGAACACCGGUGGCGAAGGCGGCAUCCUGGACCGGUUCUGACGCUGAUGCGCGAAAGCGUGGGGAGCAAACGGG
rnacentral:rRNA from 1 species